rnacentral:rRNA from 1 species
UACGUAGGGGGCUAGCGUUGUCCGGAUUUAUUGGGCGUAAAGAGCGUGUAGGCGGCCAGGUAGGUCUGCUGUGAAAACUCGAGGCUCAACCUCGAGACGCCGGUGGAAACCAUCAGGCUAGAGUCCGGAAGAGGAGAGUGGAAUUCCUGGUGUAGCGGUGAAAUGCGCAGAUAUCAGGAAGAACACCCGUGGCUAAGGCGGCUCUCUAGUACGGUACUGACGCUGAGACGCGAAAGCGUGGGGAGCGAACAGG